rnacentral:lncRNA from 1 species
CAAAAAAAUAAAAUUAAAAAUAAAUAAAUAAAUAAAUAAACAGGCUUAGGCCGGGCGCGGUGGCUCGUGCCAGUAAUCCCAACACUAUGGGAGGCUGAGGCUGGUCGAUCACAAGGUCAGGAGAUCGAGACCAUCCUGACCAACAUGGUGAAACCCCAUCUCUACUAAAAUACAAAAAAUUAGCUGGGCAUGGUGGCUUGUGCCUGUAGUCCCAGCUGCUCUGGAGGCUGAGGCAGGGGAAUCGGUUGAACCUGGGAGAUGGAGGUUGCAGUGAGCCAAGAUCACGCCACUGCACUCUAACCUGGUAACAGAGCAAGACUCCGUCUCAAAAAAAAAAAAAAAAAAACGGGCAGGGGGAGCUUAAAAGACAUAUCAUUUUCUUUUUGAAUGGGCAAGACUAAACUCCAGUGUCUACAGAUUCACAUUUGGAUAAUAAAACUAUACAUGUGCAGUGGCGCUCACCUGUCUCCCAGCUACUCAGGAGGCUAAGGAUCAUUUGAGCCCAGGAGUUCCAGGCUGCAGUGAGCAUUGAUUGCACCACUGCACUCCAGCCUGAACAAUACAGUGAGACUCUGUCUCGAAAUAAAUAAAUAAGCAAACAAACAGAAACCUACACAGGGCCGGGCGUGAGCCACUGCGCCCGGCCUUGGGAUAUCUUUUUCUUUUGGGCAACCUCCUCCUCUGGCUUAGGAAAAAUCUGUUCCUUUUCAGUAAGAAUCAUCUCAGUGUGGCAGGGAGAACUCAUUCAUGGGUUAAUCCGACCGGAGUUCCGUAGGUCUGGCGACGCAUCUUAGGUACUUUGUUCACUUGGAUAUGCUCAAUGACCAGAGAAUCUACAUAUAACCCUUAAGUUCAGCAUUACU